ACAGCAGUAGCCGCGGUAAUACGAAGGGUGCAAGCGUUACUCGGAAUUACUGGGCGUAAAGCGUGCGUAGGUGGUGGUUUAAGUCCGUUGUGAAAGCCCUGGGCUCAACCUGGGAAUUGCAGUGGAUACUGGGUCACUAGAGUGUGGUAGAGGAUAGUGGAAUUUCCGGUGUAGCAGUGAAAUGCGUAGAGAUCGGAAGGAACAUCUGUGGCGAAGGCGACUAUCUGGGCCAACACUGACACUGAGGCACGAAAGCGUGGGGAGCAAAUAGGAUUAGAUACCCGCGUAGUCCCUGUCUCUUAUAC
rnacentral:rRNA from 1 species